AAAAACAAAAUCGGCAAAUUUCGGUUUGUCUGGCAUAUCUUCGGAAGUAAUCGGAAUUUUCCGGUUUUCGUUACAGUGUGAUAAUAACUCUACGCUAUCUUCUUCCUAUGGUUUCCGAGAUUCCCAUGAUAAACAUCACAUCCGUAGCUACCAGCUAUAUAAUAUCAAAUUUAAAAUACUGGCACAAGAUUCGGAGAUUGUUCAGAAAUAAUAUUGCAUCAUGUUACAUCCUGUGGAAGAAACUGGCCUGUAGCAUUCUUUUGUCGCGUUAUGCAAUGCCAAAUUUUAACCGAAAAAUUCACCGUGCUCUUAAACGGAAAAAGUAAGAGGUAAAACGAAAAAGGGACGGAUUUCGAAGAUUUUCGCCCCUCGCCAUCUAAAAAUGUUGCUUCAAGUUCAAGGUGUUUGCGGUCUAAACUAUCAAGACAGCCUAUUAAGAGCCAAGCAACGAUUUAUAUUAUUUUAUUGUGUUGAAAAUGAUGCAAUUUUGACGACAUUGACAUUGAAGAAAGACAUGCGUGUAAAUUAGAAGUUGCGUUAUUGUAAAGGAUGUACGUACGUGCAUUAUGUUUUGUCUUGUAAUUUAAGUUAGAAUGUAAUUGUGCAUUAUUACUCAA